GCCGCCCAUGACGUUGCGGGAAGCCACUGAACCUUAUCAUUUAGAGGAAGGAGAAGUCGUAACAAGGUUUUCGUAGGUGAACCUGCGGAAGGAUCAUUG
rnacentral:rRNA from 1 species